rnacentral:rRNA from 1 species
UGGGGAAUAUUGCGCAAUGGGCGAAAGCCUGACGCAGCGACGCCGCGUGGAGGAUGAAGGUCUUCGGAUUGUAAACUCCUGUCAGGUGGGAAGAAAGAUCUUCUUUUAAUAGAAGAGGGUUAUGACGGUACCAUCAGAGGAAGCACCGGCUAAUCUCGUGCCAGCAGCCGCGGUAAUACGAGAGGUGCAAGCGUUAUUCGGAAUUAUUGGGCGUAAAGGGUGCGUAGGCGGCCUAUUAAGUUUGUUGUUAAAUACUUUGGCUUAACUGAAGAAAAGCAAUGAAUACUGGUAGGCUAGAGGGUGAAAGAGAAAAGUGGAAUUCCCGGAGUAGCGGUAAAAUGCGUAGAUCUCGGGAGGAACACCAAUGGCGAAAGCUGCUUUUUGGUUCACAUCUGACGCU